GUGUUGUAUGAAAGGAGAAAAGUUAGCACUCCCUUGACAAGGAUGGAAGAGGCCCUUGGGCCUGACGACAUGCAUACAGUUAAGAAACCCGGCCGGGCGCGGUGGCUCAGGCCUGUAAUCCCAGCCCUUU